GACGAACGCUGGCGGCGUGCUUAACACAUGCAAGUCGAACGGUAAGGCCCUUCGGGGUACACGAGUGGCGAACGGGUGAGUAACACGUGGGUGAUCUGCCCUGCACUUCGGGAUAAGCCUGGGAAACUGGGUCUAAUACCGGAUAGGACCAUUGCCUGCAUGGGUGGUGGUGGAAAGCUUUUGCGGUGUGGGAUGGGCCCGCGGCCUAUCAGCUUGUUGGUGGGGUGAUGGCCUACCAAGGCGACGACGGGUAGCCGGCCUGAGAGGGUGACCGGCCACACGGGGACUGGGAUACGGCCCAGACGCCAACGGGAGGCAGCAGUGGGGGAUAUUGCACAAUGGGCGCAAGCCUGAUGCAGCGACGCCGCGUGAGGGAUGACGGCCGUCGGGUUGUAAACCUCUUUCAGCACCGACGAAGCGCAAGUGACGGUAGGUGCAGAAGAAGGACCGGCCAACUACGUGCCAGCCGCCGCAGUAA
rnacentral:rRNA from 1 species